rnacentral:rRNA from 1 species
CGGCCUUGAAAUACCACCCUUUAAUGUUUGAUGUUCUAACGUGGACCCGUGAUCCGGGUUGCGGACAGUGUCUGGUGGGUAGUUUGACUGGGGCGGUCUCCUCCUAAAGAGUAACGGAGGAGCACGAAGGUUGGCUAAUCCUGGUCGGACAUCAGGAGGUUAGUGCAAUGGCAUAAGCCAGCUUGACUGCGAGCGUGACGGCGCGAGCAGGUGCGAAAGCAGGUCAUAGUGAUCCGGUGGUUCUGAAUGGAAGGGCCAUCGCUCAACGGAUAAAAGGUACUCCGGGGAUAACAGGCUGAUACCGCCCAAGAGUUCAUAUCGACGGCGGUGUUUGGCACCUCGAUGUCGGCUCAUCACAUCCUGGGGCUGAAGUAGGUCCCAAGGGUAUGGCUGUUCGCCAUUUAAAGUGGUACGCGAGCUGGGUUUAGAACGUCGUGAGACAGUUCGGUCCCUAUCUGCCGUGGGCGCUGGAGAACUGAGGGGGGCUGCUCCUAGUACGAGAGGACCGGAGUGGACGCAUCACUGGUGUUCGGGUUGUCAUGCCAAUGGCACUGCCCGGUAGCUAAAUGCGGAAGAGAUAAGUGCUGAAAGCAUCUAAGCACGAAACUUGCCCCGAGAUGAGUUCUCCCUGACCCUUUAAGGGUCCUGAAGGAACGUUGAAGACGACGACGUUGAUAGG